CUUCUAAUCCUGUCCAAUUAUACCAACAAAACACGCAUCGUGGCGACUGCACAAAGUAUUAUCCCAUUUGAUCAUCGCAUCAUUCCAUACGUUCAGGAGGCGGGUCUUCUUGGGGUUGCACAGAUUGGUUUCAUCCAGCUUGAUUGGCACCUGAUUACUGCUCUGGUUGAGCGCCGGAGAUCAGAGACCUACACAUUUCACCUGCCCUAUGGGAAAUGCACUAUUACGUUGCAGGAUGUCGCCGUACAAUUUGGGUUAAGAGUGGACGUGCAACUACUGACAGGCUCACUAGAGUAUGACUGGAAGAACGUCUGUGAAGAGCUCUUAGGCGUUCUACCAGAGGAUCUGAAGGGAUCAAGAUUGAGUAUCCCUUGGUUGGCGUCCCAAUUUCUCGAAUUACCUCCCGAUGCCGACGACAUCAACGUACGUAGGUACGCACGAGCAUACAUCCUGCAGUUUAUUAGAGGGUUUUUAUUUGCCAACAAGUCAAAUACUCUGGUGCAUCUUAUGUUCCUUCUAUUUUUGUCUAAUUUCGAGCACGCUGGUACGUACUCGUGGGGUGGUGCAUGUCUUGCAUGGUUGUACAGAGAACUUUGUCGGGCUUUCAAUGCACAAGCGUUGGAAAUAGAGGGCACUGAUACUAUUACAAAUGUGGGUUUAUAAUCGAUUUCCAAUCGUAGCACCACUAGUUCAACUACAGGCCCCAGAUCAUCAGCCACUUAGUGCCAGAUGGAGUGGUGUAUUAGUUGUCUCUGAACAGUCAGCAAAUAUGUUGCUCGUGUACAGGAAAACAUUCGACAUGCUGACGCCAUACUCACAAAUUUGGUCAUCCUUACCUGAUUAUUGUCGUGAUGGUGAAGACAUUUGGUUGCCUGUUAGCCCUCUUAUAUGCUUCCAUAUAGUAGAGUGACAUCAUCCAGAUCGUGUGCUGAGACAGUUCGGGAUGCGACAAACGAUACCUUCGUUGUUCUAUACACUCCCAGAAUUACACCAGAUCGAUUUAAGAGGUAAGCAUAACCAAGACUGGCGUCGAACCCAUGCGAAGUAUUUAUCCUACUGGCAUGGGCGACAUGAUCGUUGUGCACAUGGAGAAUUAACAGAUGGGCUAGCUGUAUCAGAUGACUACUUUCCAUGGUACAAUUCGAUCACGAGGCGAUUUAUCUCACUAAACGGUGCUUACUAUUACUGCAUGAAUAAUUUUAUCGGCAAUGUUCAACAAUAUUCAGUGCAGAACCUUCCAGAAUUGGGUUCAAUGUGUCAGCAAACAUUGAUGAACGUAGAAAGUAGCUGACACCAAUCGAAGACAUAUUCGUCGUAGACGACAGCGAUAACAAAUGAACCUAAUUUAGAGGGACACGAAGACAACUCCCAUGAGGAGUAAGGGC